rnacentral:ncRNA from 1 species
CGAGCAGCGAGUACCCGGAAUGUUUUAUUACUACUUUGAAACAUUUUGAAAAGCCUUUCUUUCGUUGUGAACAGAAAAUAAAGCGCUAAAGAAAUGCACGCAAGGUAGAUGCUACCUAUCAAAUAACACGUCGUUGAAACAUGAGCCAUUACGCAUAGCCAAGAAAAUAGGUUGCAAGACAAAAGUGGUAUUAAGGUGAGCUCAGUGAGGACAGUAACCUUACCUGCAAUAAACGGUCAAAAGCUCAGUUAAUUUUGAUUUCCUGUACGAACAGAAAUUUCGAAAACAUCGCUUAUCCAUUCUUUUGAUUUUGCGGAUUUCUUGUAAACAGUGUCAGAAAAGAUACCACGUGAAUAACCGGCUUUGGCAGCCAAGCGUCCAUAACGACGCUGCUUUGUGAUACUUCAAUGUCGCCUACUCCGGUUCUUGUGGGCCAAAAUCCGUUGAGUUAGGUUGCUCAGCCACCAGCUGGGACCAUGAACCACGUUCAGUUCGUAAUGAAACAGGUCAGUUUUACCCUACUGCUCACUGAUCGUUGGAACAGCAAUCCGACUGAAUAUCAGAGGAGCCACAGGGUAUAAAACUUGGCUCAUUCUUUUGGUUCAAAUGCCAAGGGCACUUAGUCACAAUUGGGGAGAUAAUGACCUUUGUCAUAGUAGAUCUUCAGAUUCACGGGCUUGGCCUGUUGGAUGUAUCUGUAAGUAAACUUCAAAAUGCCCUACCAACGGAUGGAUGAGCAAAUUG